GGAACACUCUGCUUAGGGAACAGUGGAUACAUGGUACUAACUGCAACAAUUCUCAAGCAGUAAGAAUAGACGAGAAAAAUAAUGAAGAGAGCUUUUCAAAAAAUAAAAGGACUGUCUUUUGUUUUCAUGAACUCUCCUUUCCAAAUAUCUUCUAGGAAAUUCCAUAUUUCUAGUAAUCAGAUCUUCUAAAAGGUUAUUGUGGUACUAAUCAUAUCAUAAAUAAAAUAAAAAAUUACAUGUCCAAUAGGAUGCUACUAUUUUUACGCAAAAAUAUCCAGUAUCAUUCCUGUAUCUAGCGUACGAGCAAAUCUCCAGCGAGCCCUCCAGGAGGCUUUUGGUUUGCGCCUUUCGUCACUGCACAUGUCACGUAGGGUGGUGCUCUCGUAUUGUAGAUGCCGCCUUGCCAGAGACAUGGUCGGAGUCAUGGCAGGGCUUCAGUACAUGUAAUGAUCUAGUUUACCCUGCAGCUGGAGGCUUGGCAUCCACGAGAACAGGGAGAUUGAUCCAAGACAAGAUAGCACAGUUGGAGACUUACAAGCACGCAUAUUCUCUGUCUUCACUAAAAAAUAACACAGAAGUAGAACAUGUAUUAGCAAGUGAACGGGUAAUAGAAGAAGAGGUAGUAGCAAGCUAAAAAUUUAGUACGUUUGAAUCUACAAAUACUCCACUUAUUGUGUGACACUAAAAAUGACAAAUCAAACAUAUAACACAGAAGUAGAACAUGUAUUAGCAAGUGAACAGGUAAUAGAAGAAGAGGUACUAGCAAGCUAGACAUGGUCGGAGUCAUGGCAGGGCUUCAGUACAUGUAAUGAUCUAGUUUACCCUGCAGCUGGAGGCUUGGCAUCCACCAGAACAGGGAGAUCGAUCCAAGAAAAGAUAGCACAGUUGGAGACUUACAAGCACGCAUAUUCUCUGCCUUCACUAGUAACAAGGUGAGAAUUAUUCUAAACUGUUAAGCUCAUAGAAAAAUCUUGAAAACUUGAAAUAAAUCUUGUUUAACCAGUUAUUAUUUACAACAAUCUUGGAAACUUAGCAGAGAUCAUUUUUUAACUUCUAGCUGUAACAAAUGGUCGAAUUCAUGUCUUGUCGUUCUUCACAUGAUAACCUGCAAGAAAGAACAUUUGUGUAGAUGGAGAAGAGAGUUCACAUUUUGAAUCUACAAAUACUCCACUUAUUGUGUGACACUAAAAAUGACAAAUCAAACAUAUUGACAACUCCCUGUAGACGGCGUGUAAAAAUAUGUUUGUGCUGCUAAAUCCUAGUAACAAGGUGAGAAUUAUUCUAAACUGUUAAGCUCAUAGAAAAAUCUUGAAAACUUGAAAUAAAUCUUGUUUAACCAGUUAUUAUUUACAACAAUCUUGGAAACUUAGCAGAGAUCAUUUUUUAACUUCUAGCUGUAACAAAUGGUCGAAUUCAUGUCUUGUCGUUCUUCACAUGAUAACCUGCAAGAAAGAACAUUUGUGUAGAUGGAGAAGAGAGUUCACAUUUUGAUGGUCCUUAUUCCAUGAAUCCCAUAAUAACCUUGGAAUCAGAACUUAACACAAUAUAUAUCAUGACCAUGAGAACACAAUUUGUCGCUAUCAUAUGUUCCUUACUUUUGAUCUAUCUGUGUCAAACUUUUUUGCCACACCUGUAGAUGCCGACAUCUUUCUCCCAAAGAUAGUAGGUUGACAAUGUAUUUGUUGGGACUCUUAGUACAUGCUUAUUACCGAGUUUCAGUUUUACUCUACUACAAUAAAUUAUAGGUCAUUAUAAUUAUUUAUAUGUUGUUUGAUUAGUGUCACACAAAUACCACAUCACCAAUUAUUUAAGAGAAUGUCAUCCAUUGUACAAUGACGUUUGGACUACUUUAGCAAUACGAACAUGUGUUGAACCUCUAAAAACAUAUAGGGAAAUUCUGAAAUUGUAGUGGAAGAUUAGGUAACCUCGGACUAUAUUUAUUAAGGUAUAAAAUGGAAGAAAAUAAAUGGGCAUCCCCUUGUGAACAUUACAUAAAGGGAACAAACUUACCUUGUGGCAAAAAUAGUGAUAGGAAGGAAAUGACAUGGUUAGAUAAAAAAAUAUAAUAGAGGCAUACUUGUGUGUGUGUGUGAGAGAGAGAGAGAGAGAGAGAGAGAUCUUUCUCUGCAGUCCUCCUUUCACUUCACCUUCAUUCUUGUGACCAUGUCUGAACCCUCUCUCUUUAAAGUCUUAUAAUUCUACAGAAUCCCUGGACCGUUGAAAUUCAACGGGGGACCACAAAUUCCCCAUCGUGGAUUCAACCAUGCUAAUCAAAUAUAUUACUGUAUAUCAAGGAUAUACUCAAUUUCGAAUUCAGAGUUGUAAUUUUUAGCUUAAUAGUAAGACUAAUCAUUGGAAUUAAAUGAAUUAGUUAAUUAAUUCGAGAUGGAGACUUUAGUGAAUAAAUUUACCAUGUUGUUAUUGCCGACCUCGGUGAUGAUGUGUUGAUACAGCUUGUAUGUUGUACUCUCGGCAGGCCUCUUCCAUGGUUACACCUUCUCUAUGGUGAUGUACCCAUUGUUCUCCUUGUCGAAGUAGGCAAAGGCAGCCAGCAGGUGCUCCUCCCGCUACAUCUCGUAUAGUGUACUCUCGGCAGGCCUCUUCCACCUUCUCUAU
rnacentral:lncRNA from 1 species